rnacentral:rRNA from 1 species
UACGUAGGCAGCGAGCGUUGUUCGGAGUUACUGGGCGUAAAGCGUGCGUAGGCGGUGUCUUAAGUUUGUUGUGAAAUCUCCCGGCUUAACCGGGAGGGUGCGGCGAAUACUGAGAUGCUGGAGUGCCGGAGAGGUAAGCGGAAUUCCUGGUGUAGCGGUGAAAUGCGUAGAUAUCAGGAGGAACACCUGCGGUGUAGACGGCUUACUGGACGGUAACUGACGCUGAGGCACGAAAGCGUGGGUAGCAAACAGGAUUAGAUACCCUGGUAGUCCACGCCCUAAACGAUGCAUACUUGGUGUGGGCAGUUCAGUCUGUCCGUGCCGAAGCUAACGCGAUAAGUAUGCCGCCUGGGGAGUACGGUCGCAAGGCUGAA